GUGCUCACUUGAGCAGCACAUAUACUAAAAUUUGAACAACACAGAGAGGAUUAGCAUGGCCCCCGCACAAAGAUGACACACAACUUCAUGAAACAUUUAAAAAAAGA